rnacentral:rRNA from 1 species
CCCUGCCAUUUGUACACACCGCCCGUCGCUACUACCGAUUGGAUGGUUUAGUGAGGCCCUCGGAUCGGCCCCGCCGGGGUCGGCCCACGGCCCUGGCGGAGCGCUGAGAAGACGGUCGAACUUGACUAUCUAGAGGAAGUAAAAGUCGUAACAA